rnacentral:rRNA from 1 species
UACGGAGGGUGCGAGCGUUAUCCGGAAUUACUGGGUUUAAAGGGUGCGUAGGCGGCCAUGUAAGUCAGGAGUGAAAGUUUGCGGCUCAACCGUAAAAUUGCUUUUGAUACUGCAUGGCUGGAAUUAGGAUGAGGUCAGCGGAAUGUGGCAUGUAGCGGUGAAAUGCAUAGAUAUGCCAUAGAACACCAAUUGCGAAGGCAGCUGGCUAGACCUGGAUUGACGCUGAGGCACGAAAGCGUGGGGAGCGAACAGG